CAACCCAUACAGCGAUGUAUGGCUGAACGUCCAGAAGUCAGCAGAGGCCGUAGUACCAUGAAGGGGAAUGUCCCAUGUCGAGGGAGAACAAACGGAGCGGGAAGGGC
rfam:Termite gut metagenome tgut2b_Contig10156, whole genome shotgun sequence.